AUUGAACGCUGGCGGCAUGCCUUACACAUGCAAGUCGAACGGCAGCACGGGGCAACCUGGUGGCGAGUGGCGAACGGGUGAGUAAUGCAUCGGAACGUGCCAUUGAGUGGGGGAUAACGUAGCGAAAGUUGCGCUAAUACCGCAUAUUCUGUGAGCAGGAAAGCAGGGGACCGCAAGGCCUUGCGCUCUUUGAGCGGCCGAUGUCAGAUUAGCUAGUUGGUGAGGUAACGGCUUACCAAGGCGACGAUCUGUAGCGGGUCUGAGAGGAUGAUCCGCCACACUGGAACUGAGACACGGCCCAGACUCCUACGGGAGGCAGCAGUGGGGAAUUUUGGACAAUGGGCGCAACCCUGAUCCAGCCAUGCCGCGU
rnacentral:rRNA from 1 species